rnacentral:rRNA from 1 species
AACAAACGCUGGCGGCGUGCCUAACACAUGCAAGUCGCACGAGAAAGUCCGCUUCGGUGGAUAAGUAAAGUGGCGCACGGGUGAGUAACGCGUGGAUAAUCUACCCUUAAGUUGGGAAUAACGUACCGAAAGGUGCGCUAAUACCGAAUAAUACUUCACAACUACUGUUGUGCAGUCAAAGAAGGCCUCUGUUUACAAGCUUUUGCUGAAGGAUGAGUCCGCGUACCAUUAGCUAGUUGGUAGGGUAAUGGCCUACCAAGGCAACGAUGGUUAGCUGGUCUGAGAGGAUGAUCAGCCACACUGGAACUGAGACACGGUCCAGACUCCUACGGGAGGCAG